rnacentral:rRNA from 1 species
CGGACGGGUGAGUAACACGUGGAUAACCUACCUAUAAGACUGGGAUAACUUCGGGAAACCGGAGCUAAUACCGGAUAAUAUAUUGAACCGCAUGGUUCGAUAGUGAAAGACGGUUUUGCUGUCACUUAUAGAUGGAUCCGCGCCGCAUUAGCUAGUUGUAAGGUAACGGCUUACCAAGGCAACGAUGCGUAGCCGACCUGAGAGGGUGAUCGGCCACACUGGAACUGAGACACGGUCCAG